GACAGUAUAGCUCAAGUGGUAGAGCGCAUGCUUAGCAUGCACGAGGUCCUGGGUUCAAUCCCCGGUACCUCA
rfam:Camelus ferus unplaced genomic scaffold scaffold177, whole genome shotgun sequence.